GACGAACGCUGGCGGCGUGCUUAACACAUGCAAGUCGAACGGAAAGGCCCGGCUUUUGUGGGGUGCUGGGUUGCCAAACGGGUGAUUAACACGUGAGUAACCUGCCCUUGACUUGGGGUUAAUUCAAGGAAAUUGGGGCUAAUACGGGAUAGGAGCUCCUGCGCCAUGUUGGGGGUUGGAAAGUUUCGGCGGUUGGGGAUGGACUCGCGGCUUUUCAGCUUGUUGGUGGGGUAGUGGCUUACCAAGGCUUUGACGGGUAGCCGGCCUGAGAGGGGGACCGGCCACAUUGGGACUGAGAUACGGCCCAGACUCCUACGGGAGGCAGCAGUGGGGAAUAUUGCACAAUGGGCGGAAGCCUGAUGCAGCAACGCCGCGUGCGGGAUGACGGCCUUCGGGUUGUAAACCGCUUUCGCCUGUGACGAAGCGUGAGUGACGGUAAUGGGUAAAGAAGCACCGGCUAACUACGUG
rnacentral:rRNA from 1 species